CUCUGUAUCAAGGAAAUCACAGGUCCUGCCCCAUCCCUGUGCAUAUGAGUUAGUAAUACUACACAUCAUUCAUACCUUACUUGGGUGUCUAUAGGAUUCCGUGAGCUCUUUAUUUAGAUAUUAAGAGUUGAAAGAGUGUUAGAGGUUAUGAAAUUCUAUCUAAAAUAGCACGAAUUCCAUCUUUUGUACUAAUUUUGGGUAAUGAAACCCAAGCCUUUUCCUUUCUAUAACUCUCCAGCUAUUGGAAAGCAAUAUUUAAGUCCUUAGCCAGAGAUACUGUUCCCCAUUUAUUCCACCAGGGAAAGUUUUUUUUCCUUUUAAUUAUUGUAGGGAUUGGUGUGCAGGGCGCUCUUUGGGUCCAAAGUACUGAAUUGCAAGGGAGGGAAGGUAGGAUGCAAUGUUGAAAAUUCUGGUUAAAAAAAAAGAAUGGAGUGGUAGUAUAGCAGGGAUAGAAAAAGUAUGUAGAAAGAUGCCAAAGAGAAAUAGUACUGCCUGCAUUUGUAUUUAUUUAUUUGUUUGCUUAGGACAGCCCCAACUCUAGCUGCUAACUCUUUCCCUCUAAUCCUAGGAAGGAGGCAUUAACUUUUAAGGGCGCUCAGAGUUCCUUAUUUUGGGUUGAAGCAUACUAGAGAAGUCAUUUGGCAUUCUUUUUUUCAGUCUUCUAGGCAGCAAUAUCAUAUUAGGUGUAAUUUCUUAAAUUCUACUGCCAAGGACAUUCUAAGCAUUCUCAUCUUAGUCACACUUCCAGCUUCUAGCCAGGGAUUUCUACCUACUGUUAAAAUGGAGUCCUCCUUUUUUAUAGUCAAUGCCUGCUUUUCAAUAGUCCUUUCAUAGUCUAAAGACUCUUAGUCUGGCCUUGGAAGGUCCAGCUGCCUAUCUCCCCAUCUCUUCUCACUUCUCAACUCUUCCUUCCCAAAUAAAACUUUUUGUGACCUCACUUACCUCCAAUGAGAGGGCCGGGUGAACCUCAUCUUGCAGAAGGAAAUCUGGAUCCUUUGGGAUACAAGUAAGGAGAUGCUGGACUUUAGCUCUGUGAUUCAGCUCAGGACCUUAAAUAAUGGGUUUUUCUGCUUUGGAAACAGAAACUAUUGAUUGCAAGGAGAAGAUUCUUCUGCAAGGCUGUGGUAGAGACUGGCACUUCGAAAGAUGCUAUGCCACAGCACAGAGUUCACUAACCUUCAGAUUUUGCAGUCACUGCAGCAUUUAUGCUCUGAGAAGUAAGAAGCAACUAUUGGGAUCUGGCAUGGCAGUAGCUGGAGGUGAAGAUUCAUCCACCAGGAUUCCUACUUUUGGAUGUGAACUUAGUGGGACCAAUACUAUUUAGAAAUUAUGAAAUGUCUGAUUCUAAUGAACUGGAGGAAUUUCAUGU